CGGCAUUAAAAACAGGUUUAUAGACUGAAUUCAGACAACACACCAGUGACUGCAUGCUCCUGGGAAGCACUACUGCACUGAAAACACCUAAAUACACAUCCAUCAUGAGCACAGGGGUGUCAUCUGAACUGUUAAUCAUCCGGGACUGAGCUCAGAUAAUUGUCCAUGAAAAAAACUUUUAAAAACAUGCUUCUAAACAGACUAUUUGCAUGCAUUUUUAUUCUUGCAUGUGAGUGCUAAUUGCUUUAAACAUGUGAAAAGUUUAUCAUAAAACUUGCCUCGGGUGUUAUCACUCAGUGCGUUUACAUGGACAACAAUAAUCCACUAUGAACCCGAUUAAGACGAUACUCUGAUUAAGAAACUACCAUGUAAACAGCAAUUUUUUAAUGACCUUAAUCUGACUAAUGUCAUACUCGAAGUAAACACAAAUCGAAUUAAGACAUGUGGAGUACUCCUGUUUUAGUCUCAUUAUCGACGUGUAUUACAGACAUGUACACACCUUAAUCACAUUAUUAACGCCGUGUGAGAUUUAUGUUGAACUGUAUGUCGAUACGUGAAAUUCUGGAGGGACGGCGUGGCACGGUGACGUAAUGACGUGUGAUGUUAAUCGCUCUAUGUUCUAUAACAUGUAAAACGGGAACAUGACAGGAGUAUUUUGAAAGCAACUCAUGUAAACACCUUAAUCAGAAUAUUGUCUUAUUCAGAAUAAGGUCAAUAAUUAGAUUACUGCUGUCCGUGUAAAUGUAGUCAUUGUGUGGGUUUAGCUUCUACAGAGUAUGGGGUUAGAAUUGUAUCAUGUUUCCAAAUAACUAGAUUAUGAUCCAGAAAUAAAUAUAGUGAGAUUUACAAAGAUUAAACAAAUUCACAAAUGCAUUGAAUGAGAUCCACAAAUAUAUGUUAGGAGUUUCACAAGAAAUGAAUUAAAUUGACAAAUAAAUAAAAUGAGAUAUGCAAAUAAAAUGUUUUUUUUUUGUUACAAAUAUGUUUUUAUGUCACAAGCACAACUCUGCCCUGCAUUUGUCGUGUGCAUUUGCAGAUUUUGAAACAUUUCUAGCGUCAAGAGUGCACACAAAUCCACAAAUAGUUGGACUACUCGUCUACUCAAGCCGGACGGAUAACCUCCACAUUGCACUGACCAAUCGUAGCACGUUCUUGCUCCGACCAAUCACAUUUUGUUUUACAAUCAGGACAGGAACAGAGUCAUACUCCACCUAACUCGCACACUAUUAAGGCUCUCUAACAUGGCCGAUCAGGAGGAAUGACGACAGGAGAGUGGAUCUAACCAUCUAACAGAAUUACUGUAGCAACAUCUAAAAGAAAACAAGUAACACUAUGGGUCAUAAAUACUUUUUAAGGGAUAAUAUGUGUUCUCACCAGUGCUUCCUGCAUCACUACGGCAAAACCCGAGUUGUGAUUUUACAGUAAAUUGUGUGUGGUGAGAUUAAAAGACUGUGUAUCUGGAAAAUAUGCCAUUGGCAAGAAAAUGUUGUC
ensembl:lncRNA